CCACGGCACCCUCUUCAUUUCUUUUCCACUUCACAUUUCAAACCACAACUACAUUUCACUCUGCCUUACCAUUGUCGACAAAGGGAGAGAGUGAGGGAGAGUCGCACUUCACGAUCGAGGGAAGAAGCCGCGAGCUGCAACCAUUUCUGGUUCUGUCCGAGCUAGAGGAUAGAGAGGGGAGGGCAAGUGGAAGUCGGCGAAGCUGCUGAUCAUCACCAUCUUCGUUCGUUCCAGACCAACAUUUCCCAGUUGCAACCAUCUUGACCACAACACCAUUUCCAGCUGCAAACCGAGCACAGGACCAACCAGUGUGUGUGAGAGCCGAGAGGGAGCAGAAAUUUUUCAGAUUUUCAUGUGUGAGCUUAGCUUGCUUUGAGGCGCACGCGAGGACCUUUAAGAGGAUCCGACAGAGGACGCUUGAACUUCAAAUUGAACCUAUUGCCCUUGUUUGACUAGGUUCUGACAACUGAGGAAGACUUGAGAUCUACUUGUACUUUAAGCAUGUAGUUUGAAUUAAACAAUGUAGCUUUUGUUUCGGGUUACCACUUGAAGCUGGAAAAGUGUAACCCUUGAAUUUGUAUGUGGCUUGUAUGAAAUUUGUUACUUGGCUUAUAAGGAUGUAUUUGAAUUAUAUGUUUUGUUUCUAGGGUUGUAAUCGGGAAGGUAUUUUAAGAAUCGACGUUGGCUAUCUUAAGGCAUUGUUAUCUCUGAAGUUAAUGUGAUUCUAGAAACCGGCCUAUUUGGAGGGAAACGAUGUUGUAAUAGAUUAGGUUAUACUUCGGAAGGACUUUUGCUAGUUGCUUGUGUGAGUCCUGGCGAGAGUU